UUUCGAACAUGACAUCCUACCCAAGUUGUUAAUCUUUGAUCCCGACUAGAGAGAGAGAGAGAGAGAGUACACAAAAUCUUCCGCAGGCAACAAGAAUAUGAAUUAUGAAACAGGUAUGAACUCAAGUAUGGCGGCUGACAUGGACACCAAGCUAAUGAAGCCA